GAUGAAGAACGUAGCGAAAUGCGAUAAGUAAUGUGAAUUGCAGAAUUCAGUGAAUCAUCGAAUCUUUGAACGCACAUUGCGCCCGCCAGUAUUCUGGCGGGCAUGCCUGUCUGAGCGUCAUUUCAACCCUCAUGCCCCUAGGGCGUGGUGUUGGGGAUCGGCCAAAGCCCGCGAGGGACGGCCGGCCCCUAAAUCUAGUGGCGGACCCGUCGUGGCCUCCUCUGCGAAGUAGUGAUAUUCCGCAUCGGAGAGCGAUGAGCCCCUGCCGUUAAACCCCCAACUUUCCAAGGUUGACCUCAGAUCAGGUAGGAAUACCCGCUGAACUUAAGCAUGUCAAUAAGCGGAGGA
rnacentral:misc_RNA from 1 species